CAUGUGUGUGUCUUGUGUGUGUAUGUUCAUUUGUGUAUAUGAAUAUGAAUAUACACACACUUACACACACACACACACAC
rnacentral:miRNA from 1 species